rnacentral:sRNA from 1 species
AUAAAAAUCGUGAUGGUGCAUUAUUCUAGUCAUGCUUGAAGCUACGAGGGUGGGGCUAAAAAUCCACUAAAGGGCACAUCGAUGAAGUUUCUUGAAGUUGCGCGAAAUGCCAGUUUUGUGUGGUUUCAGGGAGUAAAGAGAUUAGGGUAGUAUAUAAUGGCAUAUAUAUGAUUCCCUGGUUUCGCGGAGACUUAAAAGGAAUAUAAUGAAUCUUUUAUAUAAAUUUUAAGUAUAACCUGUGUUGAGUGCCAAGACACGAAAUACACAGAGUAGCCUGUCUCGAGUGAAUGUAUUGGGAUUAAUUUACAUAGGUAAAAUUUAGUUUAGGCCAAAUUAAUUUUGCUUUAUUAUGAAAUUACAUUUGCAAAAAAGACUAGUAGACUUCGAAAAGUGUGUUAAGGAAAACUUCUAGAAUGUUUGCAAAAAGCAUAGAAGUCUAGGGAUUAAGGUACAGAUUUAAGUGGCGAUCUGGUGUCUAUUAAAAUGGAAGUUAAUAGAUGUUUCCCUUAAACGGAAACGGCUAUAGCAGUAAUGUUAAGCGGGAGAUAGAGAAAUUCGACCAGACCUAAACUGUAAAAUUUACUUAGACUUUGACCAUCAAAUUAUAUA